rnacentral:lncRNA from 1 species
GGAACCUCCAAUUUACAAAGCAAGCCUCGUCUGUGUGGCACGGCACAGUCCCAAGAGUGUUGGCCACCAGGGCUCCUCUUGUGGUCCCUCCCAGUAUCCACUCUGCCAGUGAUUCUCCAGAGACGCCACAGUACAUCUAGAAUGGUUCCCACAGACCUUGAUUGAAUUCACUUUGACUCAGCAGUGAUUCCUAAGUGGGACCGAGGGGAUAAACAGACAUCCCACUCCAAGCUUUGGGACCAUGAACUUAGGGUGUGGGACAAGAGAUAAAAGGGACAUGUCUGAUGGUCAACAAUGCCCCUCUCUGCCACAUCUUCAAGGACCCUGCAAGACUGGCUCCUGCCCCACAGCACAGGAACAGGGAUGUUAGCCCCUGGCCCAUGGAGCCCCAGCCAUUCAGAGCCUCAAGCCCUCAUGCUCGCCCAGUGACAGGGUUGUGGCAGCUUUCCCUGUCCGUGCUGUCUGCUUGUCUUUGGCUGAUUCUACCAUUCUCCAGAUCAUCCCUCCCAUGUGCAACAGGAAAACUCUUAUCUCAUGAUUUCAAGAGUUUUGCUUUACAGUAAGGUUGGGACUCAACACAAAGAUGACUCAAUUGGAGCUGUCUCAGAGUUCAUGGAGCUAUACUGAUCCUCCUCGCUAAGCUGCUGGCUUACCCUGAGAAGCUUACCAAUGCCUUCCAAACUCAUCCUAUUCUCAGCCUUUUGAAAGGAAUCCAAAUUCAAGAACCAGAGGUACAAGGACAGAGUCAUGUAUGUUCCAUUCAUUCGAGACACCAUGUCUCUUUGUGCUCUAGUCUUUCCCAGGGCAUCAUCUUUCUUUCCCUCAAACAGAAGAGCUGAGCCUGAAUGAGGUGCUUCAUAGGUAAAGCUGAGCCUGUCUUUUGGAACCUAGCAUGUCACAAGUGGAAGGCCACCAAAAGACCGGACACACAGAGAUUCCACCAGGCAACCCCACCCCAUCUGAAAGGGAACCUGACUUCAGAACUUGCCAAAAAGAGGUGAGGCUGGGAGGCAUCAGCUGAAGGACUGAGAUACAGAAGGCUAUGAUUCCUGUGGCAAGGGACAGAUUGAUUGGCUUCCCCUUUAACACAUCACUCAACAUCUGGAAGGCUUUGGGCCCUCCUUCCUCAAUGCCCUCGCUUGGUGAAGAACUGCUGCCUCUAUACCCUUUCUGCUCUCACCCCUCAGGGACCAGUGAAUCAAUAUCACUUUCUGAAGCCCCUCAAACCAUUGCUUUGCCCCUACGUAGGCCAAGGGAGGCUGAAGCUGCUUUAUUCAGACCUACAUCACAGCACUCCUUUUGUGGUAAAUUAAUAAUUCACAUAUUUGUUGCAUUUUUUACACCAUGUGCUUCUUCUGUAAGGUGAAGAAUGGCAGCUAUGAUGCACAAGUGUAUCUCCAGGCUCAGCAUCAGCUCUGGCACAGACUGCGUGCUCAUAAAGUAUCUUCAGAUGCUGCUACCCUAAUUCAGAAUGAAACUGGAAACUCUUCGUUUUAUCAGACAAUAUAAAUGCUAAUAAAUAUUAUAUUUACUUUUUCUCCACAGAGUUCUAGAAAGGAUUUGCAUUGGUCUUAUAAAGUAAAACUUUACUAGCAUGGAUUAGUGAGGUCAGUCUCGAUUAACAAAAAGCCAGAAUUAGAAAGUUUCUCUGUAAAUGUAGGUUUAAACUUUCAACUUGAAUGAGCUUACUGAUGUAAUGGGGACAUGAUAAUCAGAGGCUGGGUACCUGCUUUAAAGAACAGACAAAAGAAAUCUGAAUCAGUCUGUCAACUGGCCAUUUACAUCAAUAGGUUGAAUAUGUCCUAAUUGCAAUCUUGUUUUUUCAAUUUAUUUCCUUAAAAAAUUCUUUGGAGGAAUGGAUAAAAUAAAAUUUAUUUUAAAACUUCUUUGCUUUUUCAUCUUCUUUUUUACAGGGGGAGGGGUUCUUUUGGGGAUUGUACUAAUCUUAAUCUUUGGUUCAUGGCAUACUUCCCUUACUCACGGCCUGCUCUCAUUCAUUUAUUGUAUAAUCUAAAUAAUGUAAUAAGCACCCACAAACCACUACUCAAAACAAAGGCCAGCAUCUUCAGAAUAGCUUACAAGAAUCAUUAGUUACCAAGCCCAAACUUGCUACCCUUGCCUCCCAGCCUGAGGUGAGGACCAUCCUUAGUCACAGAACUAUCAUUUCUGGCUGUCCUUUCUACACAGAUCUAAUUGCAUCUAUCAGAAUUCCUAAAGGUAUACUUUCACUUUUGUUUUUAUUAAAAGAAUGUUCCGUGGUAAUUUGGAGGGACUUCAUGUUUUUACUAUUAUGUUUCUAAGAUUUAAUAAUAUCUUUUGGUUUUGUUUUUGAAAGCUGCCUAAUAUUCUACUUGGAACUAUACCAGCACUUACUUACUCAUGCCUUUCACUGAUAGCAUGGAGGCCAUUUCCAGGGUUUUGCUGUUGUUUAUAGCACAGGUCUGCUCAUUCUUGUUCAUGAAUAAGAACAUCCUUUGGCUAUCACACGUAAGGUGUAAAGAUUAUGUGCUUCUUCAUCUUUACAUAAAAUAAUCCCAACUUUCUUUUGAUGUGGUCAUGACAACCAGCUCUCCCACCAGUCAUAUAUACAAUAGACUUGAGGACUCAUACCAUCUCUAAUGCUGAGUAUUGUCAGACUUGUUAAUAUUUGCCAUUUGUUAUCAGUGUAAAACCACCUGGGGACAGUAGCAUUUAUAGGCGAUGGAGUAUAUAUUAACCAGUGUUUUGAAAUAAGAAAAUACAUUUGAUAACAAAAAUAAUUGCUAAAAGAGAAAAAUUAGAAAUAUAGAAAAGCACCGAGAGAAAAAAAUAACAGCUAUAGUUUACCAUGACUUAAUAUUUCUUUAUAAUGAAGGAAUAUUACCACAUGAAAAAGGAAGUCUACAAUUGUAAUUUAUUUAAAGCCUCUUGGGAGUGCUUCUUCCAGAGCUGCCUCCUACUGAAUAUAUAGCCCUGCUAGUGUUCUAGCCAGUCUUAGGGUCCCCAAAGUGCACUGUACUGUCCCAGGUAUCCAGGGAGCAGCUUCCCUGCUGUAAGACUCUGGCUAAAUAUCAGAGCUAAAAACUGAAGAUGUGUUUUGAAAUUCACACCAUCUCUCUCAAGGGAGGCUCAUCUUCUAUACAGUGGUUUCUACUCCCGCCUCUUUUGAUCUGGGAGGAAGGGACUGGAAGCUCUUAUUAAACACUUAAUAAAAACAACUCUUUUAUUUUUAAAUCCAUUUUCAGAGACUCUUUUGCAGCAUUUUACUUCCUUUCAGCAGCAAGACGUUCAUUAAAGAGAGCAAAACUAUCUCCAGAAUAACAAGGACUCUGGCUGGGCUGCAGGUAAUUGAAUGAAGGUAUCCCCCAAAGCACAGAGACUCAAUUUCUAGGGGCAUAGUGUAUUUUACAACCUCUAGAGAAAGAGAAUCAGAAACCCAGCCCAGUAUGAACAGAGUCUGCUCACAGUACAUCUCUGGUGACUAAAUUACUGAUGUCUCACUGUGGGUCAGGUGCUAUUGAGUGAAAAUUAAGGGAGGAGGAGGAGGAGGACCUAACCCCUGCUCUCCAGGGUGUUGCCAUCUACUUGAGAUGGCACAAACUACAUAAUUAUGGAUCAAAGAAGAACAAAGUAAGUGCCAUUAUUAGGCACCAUACAGGGCAGUAAGAACCUAAUUUAGACUAACAAAGGUUGGGAUAGGUUUUGAUGGAAGCAGCUAGAGAUUUGGACAAGGCUCUAAAAGGCAAUCAGACUAUAGGAAAAGAUGAAGGAGAAUUUGGCAGAAAGGGAAAGCAUUUCAUUCCUGCAGAGGGUCAGUCAAUGGUUCAAACACCGUGGGCCAGAGCUACCCUGGAGAUUGGUCACAGAGGUGAACAAAACCAACAAUAGAGUUCCUGGAAGACUUUUCCCAGGAGGUACCAUUUAAGCAAGAAUUUGAAGGGCAGUGGGCAGACUUUACAGAGGGAAGAAGCAUACUAUGGAGAAGUCCAGGCAAUCAACACUUGUCACUGGUGUAUACUAGGAGAGGAAGUGAGGACAGGGGCCUUAGGAGGUACCAGGCUGCUGUAGGGGCAAGCAAAGGCUAACCCCAGGAGUGGACAGGUCAUUGGGAGGAAUGUGAGCUAGAGUUCAGGACCAUCAGAAGUCUUGGAAGGAUUUAAGUGUGUUUGGGGGCUUUGUUACAGUUGAGAGAGGAAAGAAACAGAAUCCAAAUACAUCUUUGAAAAAGCACUCGGGAUAAGAGGGAGUGGAAGUCCAUCAGAGGGGGGGAAGAGCAAGGAAGUCAGAGAGGAGGCAAUAGUGGGGUUCAGGAGAGAGAUGCAAGCUGCACUGUACUUGCUGCAGCGGAAGAGGGGAGGCAGAAGUUGAUGGAUUAAAAGUUCAUUUUAAUAUCUCUUUAUUGUGGUAAACAUUCAUAAGAUUUAAUAUCUUAGCCAGUUUUCUGCGUACAAUAUACUAAUAUUAACUGUAUGUAUCCUGUUGUACAAUGAACUCCAGAACUUCAUCUUAUAAAAUUGAAACUCUACAUUCAUGGAACGACUCCCCUUCUAUCCAGCCCUAAUGACACCAUUCUACCUUCUGUUUCUAGAAGCUUGGCUACUUUAGGUACCUCAAAUAAGUGGAGUCAUAUAGUAUUUGAUUUUGUGUCUGGCUUGUUUCAUUUGUUAUAUAUCCUCUGGGUUCUCCCAUGUUGUAGCAGGUGACAAGAUUUCCUUCUUUUUAAAAGCUGAAUCAUAUUUCAUUCUAUGUAUACACCAUAUUUAUCUAUUCAUCCAUAAAUGGACAUUUAGAUUACUUCCACUUCUUGGCUAUUUUGAAUGGUGCUGCUACGAAGAUGGGUGUGUACAUAUUUCUUUAAGAUCCUGUUUUCAAUAUUUCUGGAUAUAUACCUAGAAGUGGAUCAUAUGUUAAUUUUAUUUUUAUUAUUUUGAGGAAUAUCCAUACUUUUUUCCAUAGCAGUUACACUACUGUACAUUUCAGUAUAACUGAGAUUGAGUUUGAGAUUGACUGAUUGAUUGUCAGUGCUGGGGAUCAAAUCCAGGACCCUGUCAGCGGUAUCUUGGUUCACGAACUUGAUUCUUUCUAUGAUUCUGGUUGCAAACUGAGUUGGAUAAGAACCACAUCAAAUUAAAUGGUUAGGUUCAAAGUUGACCUCAUGGGGAAAUCUGAUUUAGUUCUUGUCCAGUUUGGUUUAUGACCAGAAUCGUGGAGAGAAUUGAGUUCAUAAACUGAGCUACUACUGUGUAUGCUAGGUAAGCACUCUACACUGAGCUACAGUCACCUCUUAUUUUUACAUUCCAAUAAAGCAAUGUGUCCUAAUUUGUCCUCAUCCUCAUCAACAACUCAUUUUCUAUUUUGAUCUUUUUGAGAGUGGCCAUCUUAAAGGGUAAGGUGGUAUUCUCAUUGUGGCUUUGAUUUACAUUUCCCUGAUUAACAGGAUGUUCUUGAGCAUCUUUUCAUAUGCUUGUUGGUUAUUUGUAUAUCUCUUUAAAGAGGUGUCUAUGUAAGCCCUUUGCCCAUUUUUUAAUUGGAUUAUGUUUUUGGUGUUACUGAAUUGUAGGAACUCUUUAUAUAUUCUAGAUAUUAACCUUUAUCAUAUAUAAUAAGACUUGCAAAUAUUUUCUCUCAUUUUGGAAGCUGUCUUUUUCUGUUUUUCCUUUGGUACACAGAAGUCUUUAAGUUUGAUAUAGUCCUUUUUGUAUAUCUUUUUUCAUUUGUUGCCAGUGUUAUGAUAUCACAUCCAAGAAAUCAGUGCCAAAUUCAAUGUCACUGAAGCUUUUCUCUUACAUUUUCUUUUAGGUGUCUUAUAAUCUCAGGUCUUUAGUUCAGGUCAUUAUUCCAUUUUGAGUUAAAUUUGGUAUAAGGUAAGGAUCUAACUUCAUUCUUUUGCAUGUUGAUAAUCCAGUUUUCCUAACAAUACUUGUUGAACAAAUAAUCCUUUCCCCACUGCAUAGCUUUGACACCCUUGUCCAAGUUCCUCUGACUUUGCACAUAAGAAUUUAUUUCUGUAAUCCCUGUUCUAUUCCAUUAGUUCAUAUAAAUAUGUUUUUAUGCCAUUAUCACACUGUUUUGAUUGCUGUAGUUUUGUAAUAAAGUGAUGAAAUCAAGAAGGGUGAGGCCUCCAAACUGAGUGUGGUGGUGCACACAGAAAGCUGAAGCAGGAGGAUUCCAAGUUUGAGCACAGUCUGAGGAACUUAGUGACUUAAAGAGACCCUAUCUCAAAAUAAAAAAUUUUGUAACUCAGUGUAAGGGCCCUGCAAAUUCCCAAUACUUCAAAUAGACAACAAGACGAUAAAACAAGCAAUAUAGUUCCACCAUCCACUCCUAAUUACCACUAGCACUAUUGCCAAUUCUUUCCAAGGUUUUUAUUUUGCUACACACAUUUUGUAUAUAUUGCAAAAUUAAAUUUAUACUACAUAAAAUAAUUCUAUAAUCUACUUUUUCACUUAAUAUUUUGUCAUAAACAUUUGCCUAUGAUUAAAAAUUAUCUGUAAACAUAAUUUUAAUUGCAAUGAUAUUAGAUGGAUAUAAAAUAAUUUGACAUUCAAUUAGAAAUUAAGGUAGUUUUCCAUUUGUUCUAUAAUGUAUAGACCUAUGGUAAAUGCUCUCAAGUAUACAUGUUUGCUCCAUUUCUCAAAUGAAGACUUUUGGGACCAAGAGGAAUGAAUAUUUUUAAAGAGUUUUUGAUACUAUUGGAAAACUGUUUUUAGAAAGAUUAUACCAAUUCAUAUCUUUAGGGAAUAAGCCUGUUCGUUCUCUGUAUUCUUACUAUAAUUGAGCAAUAUAGCUUUUAAAAUAUUUGCUAGUUAGAUAGAUGAAAACUGGUAUAGAAGUCUUUUUAUUGUUUUCAUGAAACUGUGAGGUAGAAAACUAGAGUCUCAUUUAUAGCUAAGUGGAUGCACAUUGAGGCGAUACUCUUAAGUGAAAUAAAUAGGACACACAUGUGUAAAUACCGAAUAGUUUCUCUGGUGUGAGAAACUGAAAGUGUAAAUAAGGACGAAAUGUAUAAUAGGUAAUGUGAAAUAGGAAGAAAGGGGGCAAAGGGGAAGGAAGUGGGAGGGCGAGGGGAAAGGAUAGAAGGGAAUGGGAUUAAUAUGAGAAAAUGGAA